GACGAACGCUGGCGGCGUGCUUAACACAUGCAAGUCGAACGGAAAGGCCCUGCUUUUGUGGGGUGCUCGAGUGGCGAACGGGUGAGUAACACGUGAGUAACCUGCCCUUGACUUUGGGAUAACUUCAGGAAACUGGGGCUAAUACCGGAUAGGAGCUCCUGCUGCAUGGUGGGGGUUGGAAAGUUUCGGCGGUUGGGGAUGGACUCGCGGCUUAUCAGCUUGUUGGUGGGGUAGUGGCUUACCAAGGCUUUGACGGGUAGCCGGCCUGAGAGGGUGACCGGCCACAUUGGGACUGAGAUACGGCCCAGACUCCUACGGGAGGCAGCAGCGGGGAAUAUUGCACAAUGGGCGGAAGCCUGAUGCAGCAACGCCGCGUGCGGGAUGACGGCCUUUGGGUUGUAAACCGCUUUCGCCUGUGACGAAGCGUGAGUGACGGUAAUGGGUAAAGAAGCACCGGCUAACUACGUG
rnacentral:rRNA from 1 species